AUGGAGGAUGUGAUCUACGACGGUGGGCAUGGCCCUGCCUACGAUCCCGAGAAGACCCAAAGUCAGGAUGGCCGCGCCCAGUACGUUGCUGAUGAAGAGGCCGACGACCGUGCUGACUACGACCAUGGUGACUCGUGGCAUGAAGAUGAUGACAUCUAUUGCAAAGGUGAUGGUGAUGAAGAAGAAGGCAAUGACAUUGAUAUUAGUGGCGAGCCAUUGUUCAUCGACGAGCUCACCCAAAGAGCGGAAGCACAAAAGAGGAGGAAGAGCAUUCGCACGGGUUCAUAUACACAAGAGGAGGAAAAGUUGAUUUGCCAAUGUUGGAUGGAGAUUAGCCAAGAUCCGAGGACGGGCGCGCAACAAAAGGGCCUAGUUUUUUGGACGAGAGUCCACAAAACUUUCCAUGAAAGGAAAAUGUUUGAGCCCUACCAAAUUACAAGCAACCGUGGCAUCACCUCUGUUCAAAAGAGGUGGUUGUUCAUCCAACAAGAGUGCAACAAGUGCGCCGCAUUUGAGAGCGUUGAAGCACGGCCCGUGAGUGGUCUCGGCGUUGGGGACAUGGUAUGCUCUCCUCAUCCUAGUCCUUUCCUUGCUACGACCAUGAGACUUCGGCCUUGUAUAUGUUUGCAUGUCCAAUUCUUGUUGAUCAUGUGGUGUAGGCAUUUCAAUCUUUGGAAGCAUUCAAGGCCCGGCACAAUGACAAGCCAUUCACUCUUAUGCAUUGUUGGAGGAUCAUCAACAAUUGCCCUAAGUUCAAGGAUCAAUACCGUGAACUUCAAAGGAAGAGAGGCAAGAAGAUGGCCAAGUUCGCCGGAGGUGGAGAUGGCGAGGCGUUGA
rnacentral:rRNA from 1 species